AGGUUGGCUUAGAAGCAGCCAUCCUUUAAAGAAAGCGUAAUAGCUCACUAGUCGAAUCGGCCUGCGCGGAAGAUAUAACGGGGCUCAAACAUACCACCGAAGCUACGGACGCAUGCUUGCAUGCGUGGUAGAGGAGCGUUCUGUAGGCCGUUGAAGGGAAAGCUGAGAGGCAUCCUGGAGGUAUCAGAAGUGCGAAUGCUGACAUGAGUAACGAUAAGGGGAGUGAAAAGCUCCCCCGCCGGAAGACCAAGGUUUCCUAUCCAAUGCUAAUCAGGGUAGGGUGAGUCGGCCCCUAAGGCGAGGCUGAAGAGCGUAGUCGAUGGGAAGCAGGUUAAUAUUCCUGCACCACUCAAUAUUGCGAAGGAGGGACGGAGAAGGCUAGUCCAGCACGGCGUUGGUUGUCCGUGUUUAAGCGUGUAGGCUGGGAGUUUAGGUAAAUCCGGACUCCCUUAAGGCUGAGGCGUGAUGACGAGGUCCAUUAGGACUGAAGUGGUUGAUGCCAUACUUCCAGGAAAAGCUUCUAAGCAUCAGGUAUUGAGUGACCGUACCCCAAACCGACACAGGUGGUCAGGUAGAGAAUACCAAGGCGCUUGAGAGAACUCGGGUGAAGGAACUAGGCAAAAUGGUACCGUAACUUCGGGAGAAGGUACGCCGCUGAUGGUGAUGGGACUUGCUCCCUAAGCUGUUGGCGGCCGAAGAUACCAGGUGGCUGCGACUGUUUAUUAAAAACACAGCACUGUGCAAACACGAAAGUGGACGUAUACGGUGUGACGCCUGCCCGGUGCCGGAAGGUUAAUUGAUGGGGUUAGCUUCGGCGAAGCUCUUGAUCGAAGCCCCGGUAAACGGCGGCCGUAACUAUAACGGUCCUAAGGUAGCGAAAUUCCUUGUCGGGUAAGUUCCGACCUGCACGAAUGGCGUAACGACGGCCACACUGUCUCCACCCGAGACUCAGUGAAAUUGAAAUCGCUGUUAAGAUGCAGUGUACCCGCGGCUAGACGGAAAGACCCCGUGAACCUUUACUAUAGCUUCACACUGGACUUUGACUUUAUCUGUGUAGGAUAGCUGGGAGGCUUUGAACCAUCGACGCCAGUUGAUGGGGAGCCAACCUUGAAAUACCAGCCUGAUAACGUUGAGGUUCUAACCUAGGUCCAUUAUCUGGAUCGGGGACAGUGUGUGGUGGGUAGUUUGACUGGGGCGGUCUCCUCCCAAAGAGUAACGGAGGAGCACGAAGGU
rnacentral:rRNA from 1 species